AAGGUAAGAAACCAUCACCAAGCGUGUACCACUGUACCGACGUCGGAUCGAAGUACCCACCUGUACGUGUCUGACGAAGAUCUCUCGACUGUGAAGACGGUGCAACCGAACCUACGAAAGGUCCAACGGGUUAGGAUCUAACCCACUGACAUGUAUCGCUAACUCACAAUCCCAAAAUCAUAGCCCCUCGAGAAUCGGUUUCCCAAAACCAAUUACCGAACCAGCCGGAAGUCCCGAAAACCGCACCGGAACUCCACCGUCGCUCACCCGUCGUUUCCGAACCCUCAAAACGAUGCG
rnacentral:lncRNA from 1 species